UGUUUGUUUAAUAGGUGUAGUAUAUCAGAUCCAAGAUAAGUAUAGUGAGAGGUAGUUAAUACGGUUGAGAUACUACAGAUUCAUGUUGCAUAAUGAUAUUGCCUCGGCCAAGGAGACCAACACCAUAUUUUCCGAUAUUGGCGAUCUAACGUACAAAUCUACACCUAGGCGGCGCUGCGGUAAAAGUGAUGAUGGUUUUAAAUUUUUCCAUGUUUAGUGAAAACUAUAAAAAUGUUGGCAAUGGUUGAAUCAAAGAAGGAAAUUCGAGAGCACAAUCAAACACAAGUAGAAAAAUGCACGAUUCCUGCAUGUGAGAACUACCUUGGAAAGCCCGGAAGUAAAAUAUACGUGUUUUGUUUUUGAGUUUUA